AAAGUCGUAACAAGGUUUCCGUAGGUGAACCUGCGGAAGGAUCAUUAUUGAAUUGUUUGUUUGAAUUGGCUUAAAACACCGAUUCGGCAUCCAUAUCCAAAACACCUGUGCACUGUUGGAUGACCUAUGCUCUUUGGAGCGCUGGAAGUCCAUUACACACCAAACAAUAUGUAACAAAUGUAGUCUUAUUAUAACAUAAUAAAACUUUCAACAACGGAUCUCUUGGUUCUC
rnacentral:misc_RNA from 1 species